rnacentral:rRNA from 1 species
AUUGAACGCUGGCGGCAGGCCUAACACAUGCAAGUCGAGCGAGCGGCGGACGGGUGAGUAAUGUAUGGGGACUGCCCGAUAGAGGGGGAUAACUACUGGAAACGCUAGCUAAUACCGCAUACUAUCGGAUAACCCAUAUGGGAUUAGCUAGUAGGUGAGGUAAUGGCUCACCUAGGCGACGAUCGCUAGCGGGUCUGAGAGGAUGAUCAGCCACACUGGGACUGAGACACGGCACAGACUCCUACGGAGGUAGCAGUGGGGAAUAUUGCACAAUGGGCGCAAGCCUGAUGGAGCCAUGCCGCGUGUAUGAAGAAGGCCCUCGGGUCGUAAAGCACUGUCAGUCGGGAGGCGUUACCGACAGAAGAAGCAACGGCUAACUCCGUGCCAGCAGCCGCGGUAAUAC